rnacentral:rRNA from 1 species
UUAAGCGACUAAGCGUACACGGUGGAUGCCCUGGCAGUCAGAGGCGAUGAAGGACGUGCUAAUCUGCGAAAAGCGUCGGUAAGGUGAUAUGAACCGUUAUAACCGGCGAUGUCCGAAUGGGGAAACCCAGUGUGAUUCGUCACACUAUCGUUAACUGAAUACAUAGGUUAACGAGGCGAACCGGGGGAACUGAAACAUCUAAGUACCCCGAGGAAAAGAAAUCAACCGAGAUUCCCCCAGUAGCGGCGAGCGAACGGGGAGCAGCCCAGAGUCUGAAUCAGCUUGUGUGUUAGUGGAACGGUCUGGAAAGUCCGACGGUACAGGGUGAUAGUCCCGUACACCAAAAUGCACAGGCUGUGAACUCGAAGAGUAGGGCGGGACACGUGGUAUCCUGUCUGAAUAUGGGGGGACCAUCCUCCAAGGCUAAAUACUCCUGACUGACCGAUAGUGAACCAGUACCGUGAGGGAAAGGCGAAAAGAACCCCGGCGAGGGGAGUGAAAAAGAACCUGAAACCGUGUACGUACAAGCAGUGGGAGCACCUUCGGGUGUGACUGCGUACCUUUUGUAUAAUGGGUCAGCGACUUAUAUUCUGUAGCAAGGUUAACCGUAUAGGGGAGCCGCAGGGAAACCGAGUCUUAACUGGGCGUUAAGUUGCAGGGUAUAGACCCGAAACCCGGUGAUCUAGCCAUGGGCAGGUUGAAGGUUGGGUAACACUAACUGGAGGACCGAACCGACUAAUGUUGAAAAAUUAGCGGAUGACUUGUGGCUGGGGGUGAAAGGCCAAUCAAACCGGGAGAUAGCUGGUUCUCCCCGAAAGCUAUUUAGGUAGCGCCUCGUGAAUUCAUCUUCGGGGGUAGAGCACUGUUUCGGCUAGGGGGUCAUCCCGACUUACCAACCCGAUGCAAACUACGAAUACCGAAGAAUGUUAUCACGGGAGACACACGGCGGGUGCUAACGUCCGUCGUGAAGAGGGAAACAACCCAGACCGCCAGCUAAGGUCCCAAAGUCAUGGUUAAGUGGGAAACGAUGUGGGAAGGCACAGACAGCCAGGAUGUUGGCUUAGAAGCAGCCAUCAUUUAAAGAAAGCGUAAUAGCUCACUGGUCGAGUCGGCCUGCGCGGAAGAUGUAACGGGGCUAAACCAUGCACCGAAGCUGCGGCAGCGACACUAUGUGUUGUUGGGUAGGGGAGCGUUCUGUAAGCCUGCGAAGGUGACCUGUGAGGGUUGCUGGAGGUAUCAGAAGUGCGAAUGCUGACAUAAGUAACGAUAAAGCGGGUGAAAAGCCCGCUCGCCGGAAGACCAAGGGUUCCUGUCCAACGUUAAUCGGGGCAGGGUGAGUCGACCCCUAAGGCGAGGCCGAAAGGCGUAGUCGAUGGGAAACAGGUUAAUAUUCCUGUACUUGGUGUUACUGCGAAGGGGGGACGGAGAAGGCUAUGUUAGCCGGGCGACGGUUGUCCCGGUUUAAGCAUGUAGGCUGGUUAUCCAGGCAAAUCCGGAUAAUCAAGGCUGAGGUGUGAUGACGAGGUACUACGGUGCUGAAGUAACAAAUGCCCUGCUUCCAGGAAAAGCCUCUAAGCAUCAGGUAACAUCAAAUCGUACCCCAAACCGACACAGGUGGUCAGGUAGAGAAUACCAAGGCGCUUGAGAGAACUCGGGUGAAGGAACUAGGCAAAAUGGUGCCGUAACUUCGGGAGAAGGCACGCUGGUGUGUAGGUGAAGUCCCUGCGGAUGGAGCUGAGACCAGUCGAAGAUACCAGCUGGCUGCAACUGUUUAUUAAAAACACAGCACUGUGCAAACACGAAAGUGGACGUAUACGGUGUGACGCCUGCCCGGUGCCGGAAGGUUAAUUGAUGGGGUUAUCCGUAAGGAGAAGCUCUUGAUCGAAGCCCCGGUAAACGGCGGCCGUAACUAUAACGGUCCUAAGGUAGCGAAAUUCCUUGUCGGGUAAGUUCCGACCUGCACGAAUGGCGUAAUGAUGGCCAGGCUGUCUCCACCCGAGACUCAGUGAAAUUGAACUCGCUGUGAAGAUGCAGUGUACCCGCGGCAAGACGGAAAGACCCCGUGAACCUUUACUAUAGCUUGACACUGAACAUUGAGCCUUGAUGUGUAGGAUAGGUGGGAGGCUUUGAAGCGUGGACGCCAGUCUGCGUGGAGCCAACCUUGAAAUACCACCCUUUAAUGUUUGAUGUUCUAACGUUGGCCCCUUAUCGGGGUUGCGGACAGUGUCUGGUGGGUAGUUUGACUGGGGCGGUCUCCUCCCAAAGCGUAACGGAGGAGCACGAAGGUUAGCUAAUCCUGGUCGGACAUCAGGAGGUUAGUGCAAUGGCAUAAGCUAGCUUGACUGCGAGCGUGACGGCGCGAGCAGGUGCGAAAGCAGGUCAUAGUGAUCCGGUGGUUCUGAAUGGAAGGGCCAUCGCUCAACGGAUAAAAGGUACUCCGGGGAUAACAGGCUGAUACCGCCCAAGAGUUCAUAUCGACGGCGGUGUUUGGCACCUCGAUGUCGGCUCAUCACAUCCUGGGGCUGAAGUAGGUCCCAAGGGUAUGGCUGUUCGCCAUUUAAAGUGGUACGCGAGCUGGGUUUAGAACGUCGUGAGACAGUUCGGUCCCUAUCUGCCGUGGGCGCUGGAGAAUUGAGGAGGGCUGCUCCUAGUACGAGAGGACCGGAGUGGACGCAUCACUGGUGUUCGGGUUGUCAUGCCAAUGGCACUGCCCGGUAGCUAAAUGCGGAAGAGAUAAGUGCUGAAAGCAUCUAAGCACGAAACUUGCCCCGAGAUGAGUUCUCCCUGAGACUUUAAGUCUCCUGAAGGAACGUUAAAGACGAUGACGUUGAUAGGCCGGGUGUGUAAGCGCAGCGAUGCGUUGAGCUAACCGGUACUAAUGAACCGUGAGGCUUAACCUU